CUUCACAGAAUAGUUGGGGUUGGAAGGGACCUCUGGGGACCACCUGGUCCAAACUGCCACUGGAAGAAGUGACACAGGAAUGCAUCCAGGAGGAUUUUGAAUGUCUCCAGAGAGGGAGACUCCACACUCUCCCUGGGUAGCUCCUCCAUCUGCUCCCCAGCCACAGCUCUCUUGCUGUCCUUCCCUGGCCAUGGGCAGCACAGGAGGUGCCCGGGGCUGGCACUGGCACAGGAUGUGGCCUCAUUCCAGGCUCCCUCAUCACUCAUCCCAGAGAAAACAGCCACCCUCCCCACGGCUCAGAGACCUUCCAGCCCUCAGGACCAGCCACCUGGGGCUGAGAGUGCAGGGCACCAGCUAAGGAGGACAGCCAGGAGCCCCAGAACUGGGUGGCCGGGUUUGUGCAACUGUGGAAAAUGCUGUGAAGAAAUGGGAAAUCUGCUCCAGGCCCCCUCCUCGCUCCAGUAUCUGGACCAAUGUGGGAGUUUGUCCCCUGCACCAAUAGUGCAAGCAAACACCUCAGAAAGCCCCUGUGAGGUUUGUCCUGAUUUUUUCAUACCAACUGCCUUCAGUCUCAGCAGAGCAAGUGGCUGUGGAAGUGCCUAGAGCAUGAGAGCAGCCGUGGGGAAGGUGCUGUGGCCACAGAGAGGGACCAUUUCUGUGCAAACUUUCCUCAGAAGGAAAAUGAAGAGAAACUCGUGACUCCCCAUGGCUGUGUGCAGGGAAACCAGUGAGGACAGAGCGGGAUUUCCAGGCACUCGGAGGGACUAUCAGCACUCUCGGCUACCAGAGCCAAGCCCUGUGGUCUGCAGCUUUCUGGUGAACUCCUGGGUUUGGUUGAAAGGAGAGCUCUGGCUGCUCCUGUCGCCCUGGGUGCUGGCAGCUGGAGCCCUUGGUGGUGGGCAGGAACUGCCGGUGCUCGGCACGGCGCAGGAUCCGCCCGCGGAGCUUUGACGUCAGCGGCGCUUGAAAGAAAAACUAAAAAAAGGCCAAGCUUAGUUUUGAUGACUCCGUUUUCCAGAGGAAGUUGAAAAAAAAAAAAAGAAAAAGAAAGCAAAAAGCUCCAGCCCCCAAAAUACACGGAGGCAGAAGAGUUGGGGUCAGUGGAGGGACAGGAGGAGGUGCCCAGUGACCUCCACGGCCAGGCCCCGCGGGAUGCAGGCACUGACCUCACGUGUGAGUAGUGCAACAUCAGGUGUAACAAAAGGCAACCUGGCAAAGAUCAGUGCCCUUCUCCUGCCUGCAGUGACUCAUGCUUUCACCUGAAAAACAUAUUCCCCGAGGAAGGUUUCCACCAGCAGUUUUAAUGGGACUAUCCCACCGUGAAGGUUCUUGGAAACUACAUGACUCUUGGAAAAACUUCCCUGCUGCAAUCUGGCAGCAGUCAGGUGUGUAGCCCACGGUGAGUUGUUCCAUCUCUUGCUGUUUCCAUUCUGACAGUAACUAUUCACAGAAUCACAGAAUCAAUUAGGUUGGAAAAGACCUCUGAGGUCAUCAAUCUAACCUGUGACCAAACACCACCAGGUCAACAAGCCCGUGGCACUAAGUGCCACAUUCAGCCUUUCCUGGUUUCCCCAACCCCUGGGUUUGAUUUGUUCUGCUCUGCCCUGAGGUUCUCCUGUCCUUCCCUGGUGCUGUCCCAUGGAAUCCCUCUGUACUCCCUGCUGUCCCAUGCCAUCCCUGUGGAAUCAUGAUGAGCAGUUCAGAUCCUUUUCCCUGCUGCUCCUCUGGUGACUGAUCCCACAACACUGCCCUGGGACAACCGCCCUGGUCCUCAGGUGUGUGAGAAGCUCUCAGUGAUCUGCCUUGGUUCUCCUUUUGCAGCUGUGAUGUGCUGGAAAUGCUCUUCCCCACAUGAGGCAAAGGCACAUUGCCCUUUGCUGCUGGGGAAUGUCUGUGCGUGAAAACGGAAAGCUCAGCUUGACCUUAGGAGAGGAUGAACAGACAAACAGCCCAAAUAAAUAACACCACAUCCUUUGUAUUUACAAAUUAAAUAGAAUAAAUAAUGUCUGCAUACAGCAGGGGCAGAACACAGCCCAUAGUGUUAAGCUGGGCUGGCCUGGCUCAUCGUGUAUCCCAUAACCCAUGAGACAGCCAGCACCCCGGGGCUCUGCCCGUGCUCCAGCAGUAGGGUGGCUGAUGUCAGGCUGCCCUCUGCUCCCAGUGUCUGUGUUGUGAAAGGUCUGGAUGUCAUCGGAGGAUGUCACUGGAGCUGUGGACGUCAGCUGGAGGAGCCCAGUGCUGGCCAGAGAAAGGGGGAAGUGGAAACACACAGCUGGCCCCAGCCCCAAGGGUGGCCCUGUGCCUCAGGCUGGGCUGCUGAGGAGGGCAGACAAGACAGGAUCAUCCUUGGGAAACAUCCUGGUGCGUAUCCUUGAGCUGGGUGAGCAGUAGCUGAGCAGGUGCUCCAGGGAUGUGUCUCAGCCUGGCUCCACUUGGUUUGGUGUGUUAACAUUCAGGGGUGGCAGUAGCUUAUUGAGUGGCUGCUCCCCACGGGCAGCGGGUAGAAGAGGUAGUUGUGUCAGUGUGCAGGGCUGGCAGCACCUGCUCCCCGGCCUGGGCACGGCUCACAGGCGGCUGUCCUUGCUGUCCCCACUGAGCAGGCUCAGGGGGUUCACUGGCAGUGUGAGCCAGUCCGUGCUGAGGCUGGAGGUGAGGGGCAGCGUCCCCAGGACGUCAGUGUUGAAGAUGCUCAGGUCGAAGGGAGCUUUCAGGAGCUCAGGGCAAGCUUUGGAGACCAAGGGAGCACUUGGAGCCCCCCAGCUCAGCAGAGUGGGGGCUAGGGGUCCCACCUGGCUGGAAAAGUCCAAGGAAGGGGCUCCCCAUGGAGCGAGGUCCUGCGCGUGGCCACGGGGAUGCUCUGGAGAGGACUGCUUCAAAUACCCUUUGGACACAGCCAGCUCGGAGCACUCAACAUCCAGCACGAGGUCAGUGCCCUGCCCAGGCCCUUCACAGCCCGAGAGGGGCAUUCCCUUGGCUGGGUCCUGCCCUGGCUCCACCGUGCCCCUGCACUGCUGCAGGUACCCGCGGAACUCCACGGCCUCCUGGCCGGUGGCAGGGCAGAGCUCUGGCUCCCCUUGGCUGCUGUUCCCGCUGCUGGAGGAGCACGUGGGACCAGGGCAGGGGCUCUCCAAGCCCACACCGCUGUCGUCGCCAGUGGGCAGCUGUCGCCUGUAGCCCUGGGGCUCAGGGCGGGCGGAGCAGCUCAGUCCGGGGGAGGAGGAGGGGAUGUGCAGGCAGAUGCCGCUGUCGGUGCUGCUGCCGCUGUUGUCUCGGCUUCCCACGGGUCCCAGCAGGCACAGCCGGUCCUCAGGCCACACUGGGAGCUUCCAGCCCUGCUCCAGGGGCACCUGGGCUGUGCUAGUGCUGCUGUCCAGCUGGGGCUCCUUCUGGCACAGGAACAGCUGCUGGAUGGGGUCUGUGUCCAGGCUGCCCAAGGAUGGGGGCUCGUGCUCCACCCAGAGUGAGCUCUGCUUCAUGAAGGACUUCUGAGAGGGAGAGAAAGAAGGGAGUGAGCCGGGCUUUGUCCCUUUUGUUGCUGGCUGCUCCCAGCACUCCCCAAGCCUGCGCCUGCCCCUCCAUGCCAGCCACAAAAGGUGCCUUACCAGGACAGAUGGUGUCCUCACAGGUUUCUUUAUGUAGGUGUGCACCAGCAGAGCCCCCAGGAUCCCCAAAAGCACAAUGAAGCAGGGGCUGAGGAUGCUCGGGAGAAGCUCCACAAUCCCUGCAAGAGAGGACGUGUCCAGCACCGUGUGGGACAGACGGGGAGAGCAUGGGAGCAGCAACUCAUCUCACCGUCUUGUUGUCCUGUGUCCUCCUGACGUACACCCGGUACUGCCUCGUGUCCUCGUGGAUGUCUUCGUACCUCACAGUGACUUUCCCAGUCUGGAAGAGCAGCUGCAGCUGCACGUGGAUGGUGUUGCCCUUCACGGAGAGGCUCUGGCCCGACAGGCGCAGGCUGGCUGGAGGCAAGUCAGUCGGAAGAGCACGUUAGGGCUGUGUCCUGCUUGCAGCACUGGACUGAGCUGUGACUGUCCCUCGCAGCCGGUGCCACCCAUCCUCGCUUUGUCCCAUCCUAUCCUGCAGCCUGCCUGCCCUCCAGGAAGGUAUGGAGGGAUUUAUCCCUGCUCUCAUUCAUCCCACGGUUCUUCCCAAGUGGUUUGACACCCUGACCUCACCAUCCUCAGAGCCUCCUACCCCUGGCCGAGGUGAAGGCAGACCCCAACCUACCAUCCUGUGGGGAGAAGGCGUUGGUCCUUUGCCACGAGGACGUGUGGUUCCCGGACACAGCCCUGACCCGGGCGUAGUAGCGCUUGUCGGGAUCCAGGGUGUAGAAGGUGAGGUCGCAGGAUUGCCUCGAGGACUUGGUGCACUCUGGGAUGGCCGUCCAGGGGAUUUCCGUGCCAUAGCUGUGGGGAGAAGCACCGGGGGUGAGAGCCGUGCAGGCAGCAGGGACUCAGCUGUCCCUUGCCGUUGGAGUCGGAUGGCAGGCAGGGCUCAGCCCCCACGGCUGCACUCACACUUUGUACUCCACGUCGUAGCAGACGUCCCUGGGGUGGCCGUGUCCCGGCUCCCACUCCAGCACGUGCCACGUGGUCUCGGCAGCGAAGCGCACGCGCCGGGGGCUCGCCAGCCCCUCACCUGCGGGACCCACGGUGGGCGUUGGGUGAGGCUGCACAGCCCCCCGUCCCACUGGUGCCCACGGGAGCUGGGCAGGGCCCUUGGGAGGGCCUCCUGGAGCGUCACCCCACGUUUAGUGCUGACCACUCGAAAUGUGUAAGGAUUUCCCCGGAGUUCUUUGUCCGAGUUUCAGCGUUUGCUCAUCCCCAUCUUCCCCUUCCUUUCUCUUUGGGCAGAGCCCAGCUCAGCCCAGCCAGGGGGUUCCCCGUGCUUUUCUGCCCCAAGAAAGGAGCUGUAUUUGCAUCCCCAAGCCCCUGCCAUUGGCCACGGGGGCUCUGUCCGGACUCAGCUUUCUCGCAGCUGUGUUUGGACUCCGCUUUCCUGUUUUGCUCAUCUGCUGCCUGGAUGAAACAGGCUGUUUUCACA